rnacentral:ncRNA from 1 species
GGCUAGGGGAGCCUUUGGCUGAGAUUACGUCAGAUAUCUGACGUUGGACCCUCAUCACUUGAACCGGUUAGUACCGGCGUAAGGAAGCAGUUUUAC